AGCAGCCGCGGUAAUUCCAGCUCCAAUAGCGUAUAUUAAAGUUGUUGCAGUUAAAAAGCUCGUAGUUGAAUUUCGGGGUUAGUAGGUUGGUCAUGCCUCUGGUAUGCACUGGUCUCACUGAUUCCUCCUUCCUGAUGAGCCGUAAUGCCAUUAAUUUGGUGUUGCGGGGAAUUUGGACUGUUACUUUGAAAAAUUAGAGUGUUUAAAGCAGGCUCACGCUUGAAUACAUUAGCAUGGAAUAAUGAAAUAGGACGUUUGAUUCUAUUUUGUUGGUUUCUAGGAUCGACGUAAUGAUUAAUAGGGAUAGUUGGGGGCAUUAGUAUUCAAUUGUCAGAGGUGAAAUUCUUGGAUUUAUUGAAGACUAACUACUGCGAAGCAUUUGCCAAGGAUGUUUUCAUUAAUCAAGAACGAAAGUUAGGGGAUCGAAGACGAUCAGAUACCGUCGUAGUCUUAACCAUAAACUAUGCCGACUAGGGAUCGGAUGAUGUUAAUUUUUAAUGUACUCA
rnacentral:rRNA from 1 species